CAGGGAGGUGCCGUGAUCACAAGGGUGGUUUUCCCAGGAUGAUAUUUAUCCAUUGCACUCCAGAUAAGCUGACCCCUGUGAUUUCCCCAAAUGUGGGAAACUCAAUG
ensembl:snRNA U1 U1 spliceosomal RNA